rnacentral:rRNA from 1 species
GGCGAAAGCCCGAUGCAGAAACGCCGCGUGGGCGAUGAAGGCCUUCGGGUCGUAAAGCCCUUUUUGAGGGGAUGAGGAAGGACAGUACCCCCAGAAUAAGCCUCGGCUAACUACGUGCCAGCAGCCGCGGUAAAACGUAGGAGGCGAGCGUUAUCCGGAUUUAAUGGGCGUAAAGCGCGUGCAGGCGGAUUGGAGAGUUGGAUGUGAAAUCUCCCGGCUUAACAGGGGGAGGUCGUUCAAUACUUCCAGUCUUGAGUGAAGUAGAGGGAAGGGGAAUUCCGGGUGUAGUGGUGAAAUGCGUAGAUAUCCGGAGGAACACCAGUGGCGAAAGCGGCUUCCUGGACUGUAACUGACGCUCAGACGCGAAAGCUAGGGUAGCAAACG